GACGAAGGUGGCGAGCGUUACUCGGAAUUACUAGGCGUAAAGCGUGAGCAGGCGGUUCGGUAAGUCCGUUGUGAAAGCCCCGGGCUCAACCCGGGGAGGCCAAGGGAUACUGCCGGACUUGAAUACGGGAGAGGUUACUGGAAUUCCUGGUGUAGCGGUGAAAUGCGUAGAUAUCAGGAGGAACACCGAAGGCGAAAGCAGGUAACUGGACCGUUAUUGACGCUGAGUCACGAAAGCCGGGGGAGCAAACAGG
rnacentral:rRNA from 1 species